UUAAUCCCGGUUGAUCCUGCCGGACCCGACUGCUAUUGGGGUGAGGCUAAGCCAUGCGAGUCGGCUCUCCUAGCCAUGAUGGAGAGCGGCGUACGGCUCAGUAACAUGUGGUCAAUCUACCCUCAGGACGGGGAUAACCUCGGGAAACUGAGGCUAACACCCGAUAGAUAAUGGAUCCUGGAAUGGUUCAUUAUUUAAACGGCACAUUGCUCAUGCGCAGUAUGCCGCCUGAGGAUGAGACUGCAUCCUAUCAGGUAGUUGGUGGGGUAAUGGCUCACCAAGCCGAUAACGGGUACGGGCCCUGAGAGGGGGAGCCCGGAGAUGGGCACUGAGA
rnacentral:rRNA from 1 species